CUUGCAAGUUUCACCGCAUUUUAUAUUACGUUAUUUGUACGGUAUAGGUUUAAUCGAGAGAGGCACCUGAGUAAGAAUAAUAGGAUAAUAACCUAUUGAAUUCGAGAGAAUCAAUAGAACAUUAAUAGUGAAAUUAAACUGUGUCAAUUAUAGGAUAACAAUCUUGCACUUAUCAUGGCAUGACCCUUAUUUCUCACAUUGUGUCACGACCCAAAACUUGACCCGUCGUGAUGGCGCCUAUUGUGGAACUAGGCCAGCCUCAACUCAAUAAUCCAACACUGCAAAAAGUAUUUUUGAACAAUAAACAUAGAAGCGACAAUUCAUUAAGGAACAUUUUUGAAAACAAAAUAAAAUCCAAAUUACGAUACAACUGCCUAAAACCGGGGUGUCACUGAGUGCAUGAGUAUCUAGAGGAGAACAUAGUCUAUUACAAUGUCUAAAGAAACAAACUGAAAUACAUCUAGAGAUAAAGAUGGAGAGUCAAGGCCUACGAAUGCCGUGCAAAUACCUCGUUAGUCUCCUAAAGCCUGAAGCCUCGAUCAGCGACUGCCACUGGGACCAAAAGUACCUGAAUCUGCACACAAGGUGCAGGGGGUAACGUGAGUACACCAACUCAGUAAGUAACGAGUCCAAACUAUAGACUGAGAGGUAGUGACGAACUCAACCGCAACAAAAAAUAAUAGAAAUAAAUGUGCAGAAACGUAGGCAUGCUUUCAAUAAAUAGGCAGCUAAAACAGUAAAAUGGAGCAGAUACGAACAAGGUAAAGAAUACAGCUUUGCUACAUCUACAUGCCAAUGCACAUGCUGUAUGUGAUGUACCAUGUCGAAUAUCUCAUGUGCUCACACUCUCAAAUGCUCCUCCACUCAGUACUGCAUAUGGUUCAUACGGCCUAGGGAAGAUCCAUCCCGGAUUAUACACAUCUCUGACAGCAGUCAAUCAGUACUAAGGAAGGCCAAUGCAGCCCUAUGGAGAAGAUCCAUCUCCAGGUAAUAAUAAUAAUAAUCUCACAACCACUCGGUACUAUAUAUGGCUCACACGGCCUAGGGAAUAUCUAUCCCGGAAUAUACACAUCACUGACCAUCAGUCUCUAGUACCGAGGACAUAAGCCAUUCCGACCUCAUGAAGAAGAUCCAUCUCCAAAUAAUAAUAUCAACUGAGCUUACUGGGAGUGUGUAUAGACUCCGGAGGGACUCCUUCAUCCCAAGAGCUAUCACAAGUUAAUAUAACCGCUGCGACAUACAGCCCGAUCCUAUAACUUUCACUUAUAAUCAAACUCUCAGCCUCACUCAGUCAUCACUCUCCAGUCUCACCCACAACUCACAAUGCCAUGAAAAUCUAGCCCGAAACAAUGAUAUGAUGUGCCAAUAAAUAACAACUGAGACUGAGAUAUGAUAUGAAAUACAUGAAUAUGACUGAGUACAGAAUAUUAAUGAAUCAAUAAGAUGACAGCAAGAAAUGACCAUUAGGGGUCUCAAUAGUAUCGGCGUGAAGCCCUAACAUGAUAUCUUGCAUAUUUUACAGCUCAAUUACUUUAUCACAUAAUGGAAGCAUGGAUGUCAACAAGAAAAAGUCAUUAAAUGGUGUCAUGGAAUGAACCAGGUCCCGAUUCUCACGGUGCAUGCCCGUCACUUGGAAUGUGCGUCAUAUCAAUAAUAUUCACAUAACACGUAGUUCGGGGUUUAGAACCCUCAAAACUAAGUUUGAAAGCAUUACUUACCUCAAACCGAGUAAAAUGCUACUCCGCAAUGCUCUUGCCUCUCAACUCGGCCUCCAAACGUCCCGAAUCUAGCCAUAAGCAAUACAAUAUGAUCAAUAUAGGCUAAAGGAACCAUUUUCACAAGAAAAACUACUAAAUUAGACUCAAAAUCCGAAAUCGGCUCAAACCCGACCCCCGGGCCCAUGUCUCGAAAUCCGACAAAUGUCACAAAACCCGAAAAACCAUUCACUCAUGAGUCUAAUCAUACCAAAUUCAUCAAAAUCCGAUUUUCACUUCAAAAUCUCACUAAUUAAGUGGGAAAUCAACGGGAAAAUACCAUUUCUAAGGAUAGUUAGACUAAAGAAACUUACCUUAGUGAUAAACCUCGAAUUCCCCUUAAAAUUCUCUUCAAAAUCUCCAAAUUUCGUGCUAAAAAAUGUGAAAAUGAGAAGAAUUACCGAAGUCCUCUAUUUAUACCUUCUGCCUAGCAAAAUCGCAUAUGCGGCUCAUUUAGCGCAUAUGCGAAACCGCUUUUGCGAACAAAGUUCCGCUUCUGCAGAAAAUUAUUAAAAUCUAAUCUCCGCUUCUGUGAUCCGCUGAGCACAUCUGCGAUCAUCGCAGGUGCAGAAAUACCAUCACACCUGCGGUCCAAACACGCACAUGCGCCCCAUAAUCUGCUUCUAUGUCCAUUGCAGGUGCGGGAACUUCAUCGCACCUGCACCUUUUGCCCAUCUCCUCCAAUCUCGCAUCUGUGAUCUCCUACUCGCUUCUACGGCCUCGCACCUGCGAUGAGACAUCCGCAGGUGCGAUUAUAACAGCUGAGUUCAACUUCAGCAGUCCUCCAAUUUCCAAACUUGUUCCAUUAAUCAUCCGAAAUCAACCUGAGGCCCUCGGGACCUCAACCAUACAUACGAACAUAUUCCACAAUAUCAUAUGAACUUAGUCAAAACAUCAAAUGACCUCAAACAACAUCAUAAACACAAAUUACACACGAAUUCAAGCAUAAUGAACUUCGAAACAUCCAAAUUCAACAAACAGCGCCAAAAUCUAUCAAAUCACAUUCGAAUGACCUCAAAUUUUUGCACAAGUUAAAAAUGAUACCACGAACCUACUCCAACUUCCAGAAAUCUAAUCCGACGCCGAUAUCAAAUUUUUCAUUGCCGACCAAAAUCGCCAAAAUUUCAACUUUCGUCUAUUCAAGCCUAAUUCCACUAAAGGCCUCCAAAUCACUUUUCGGAUGUGCUCCUAAGUACUAACGGAGCUAACAAAACCAUCAAAAUCAAAUCCGAGGUCAUUUGCACAUAACUCAAAAUCCAAUCAACUUUCCCAACCUAAACCUUCUCACAAGAUACUAAGUGUCUCAACUCACUCUAAAAUUACUUCGGACCCGAACCAACUAACCCGGUAAGUCAAAAUACAGCUGAAGAAUACAAAAGAAGCAGGAAAUAGGGGGAAUAGGGCUAUAACUCUUCGAACGACCGGUCGGAUCGUUACACAUUGAUACCAACCUAAUUCUGCUAGUCUCUAAUUCUUUGCCUUGUCAAUUGUUUUACUUUUAGUAGUUAAUUGUAGUUAAUACUCAUCCCAAAUUAAAGUGUUGAACAUCCUGAAUAAUAUUUAACCCAGAAAUUACUUGAAUAUUGUUUAAAUCAAUCCUCGUGGAGACGAUAUUUUACUAUACGCUCUUUGACUAACUGUCACACCUCCUUUUUCCCGAGGGGAUAUGAGUUUUUCCAAUUAAAGUGACAUUAAUCGAACUGAGAUUAUUUAUUUUAUUCAGAGUCGCCACUUGGGAUAAUUUAUAGUGUCCCAAGUCACCGGUUUAUUUUAAAUCCCAAAUCGAGGAAGAUUGACUCUGUUUUAAGUCUGCGAAACCAGAAGACCGGGUAAGGAAUUCUGUUAACCCAGGAGAAGGUGUUAGACACUCCCGAAUUCCGUGGUUUUAGCACGAUCACUUAAUAAUUUAUACUUGGCUUAAAUUAUUUAAUUACGUGUUUUAGAACCUACAUGCAUUUUACCUUUACCGCUUUUAAUUACUCGAUUACUCGUACUUAAAGAAUUAUCAAGUUACGCGUACGUAUACUCGUGUGGUUUAGCAUGUCAAGAGUCAUGUCACGCGUACAUGUAUACAAUUCACAACACUUAGUUUAUUUAAGAAAAAGCUUGGUCAAAGUGCGCGAAUGCGUACCUUGAUUUAUUUUAAAAAUUAUAAUUAUGUCACGCGAACGUGUAUACAGUCACGAUGAUUGAUUUUUUAAGAUCGUACCUGAAAGCAUACUAUCGAUUUGGUUUUGAGGUAACUAUAUGGAAGCAUGAUUUUCAUUACUCAACAGUGUUCAUGUGACACAUUUCAUUUUUAAGCAUUACUGCGUUUGAACCCGGAGUCAUUCUAAUAUAGGCUUCUCAUUUUUGUGAAAUUGAUUAAACUAACAAUGCAAAGAAAUAUUCACGCUUUAAAUAUUUAUGAAAAUAACUUCUUUAUAAAAAAAAAAAACUAAACAUCUAAAGAAAAGCUGAUGAAAGCAGAAGCUCAAUUCUUUUACAGAUUAAAGAAAAAAAAAUCAUGCUCUCGCCAAAGAAUUCAACAAAACGGGAAGAUAACUAACAAAUCUAUACAAACUAUAAAUUAAAAAGGAAACAUACUCAAAUAUUUAAUGGAUGUGUUACAAUUUAAACAAACCUACUUAACAUUAGAUUUAUUAUUAUCUAGAAACAUUUAUACAAACAACAACAAUCACCCAGUAAAAUUUCACUAAUAGGAUCCGGAAACAAUUAUACAAAGAAAAAUAUGUAAAUUCCAGCCAUAUUCAUUAUCGGAACUUAAUAUAAAAUAAUAAUUUUAUUUAGUUAUCAUAUUGUUCUAUGUGAGUAUCUUGUCGUAAUUUGAUAUAGAUAUCUAUAUGAACAUGAAUCUGAUUUAACUAUUAAAGAACAAAUAUUUCAGCAACUCAAAUAACAAACUAAGACAUACUCCAACAAGUUUUAUCAAUCACGUUACUUAACACCAAAAAUAUAAAUGAAACUUAAAAAAAUAAACAGAAAUAUAACAAAGUAAAAAAAAAAUCUUUAAGCACCUAUCCUAAUAAAAAUGGAAAGAGAGAGCAAAAAAAAAAAAUGUCUUAGUUAUUAUUUUACUAAAGCCGCAAACAAUCAAGCGAUGUACAUUAGAUCAAAACGAAAUUUUUUAUUGUCAUCGAAAUCUAAAAAUUAAAGAUUAAAAUAAACUCAUCCAAGAAUCUAGUAAUUACCUAUGAACACCAUAAAAGGCGUACCUUUUUUUUAAAAUGAUUUUCUUUCAAACUUUAAUUCAUACUAAACAAUAUUAAGAAUGCUGAAAUCGAACCAUGACUAAAACUCAUAAAAUCUAAUGAUCAUAUAAACGACAAAGGAAAUUGAAACAAGAAUUCAAUAAGAACACUUCUAUAUUUCAAGAAUAAAUACAGAAAAGAUAAAAGAUAAGAAAAGAACCUUUAGAAACUUUCCAAUAUUGAAACAUAAAUUCCAGCAAUUAUGAUAUAUGAGCGAGAAUUGUAACCACGAACCGGAUCUUGAAACUAGAUAGAACUUUCCUUCAAAUAAAAUUAUUCCUCCUUUAAAAUCAAUGAGGUUUCUGUGCAUGUAAUCUCUUUCUCUUUGGUUAUAUUGCCGAAUCCGCACCCCCCCCCCCUUUUUUGCUCCGUCUCUGUUGUCUCUUUAUAGAGAAGAAUAUUAGUAGUUUUGUUCCUAGAAUUUGGAGUGGGGAACGUGGGUUUUGAAGUGGAGUUGAGGAAUUGGGUUUGUGUGCAAGAGUGAAAGAUCACGAGUGGGGGGAGUUAAUUAUCUGAUGGGUUUGGAAAGAGGGGAUCAUGGGGUGAUUGAGGGAAGAGAUUAGA
rnacentral:lncRNA from 1 species